AUCCUUCUGUAGUAGGGGAGACAUCAUGACCACGGAUUAAGGUUCCUUUUCCCCGGGUGAGGCUCAUCCAUUGCACUCUGGGUAUGCAGACCCCUGAGAGUUCUCCAAAUGUGGGAAACUCUACUGCAUAAUUUCUGGNAGUGGAGAAGUGCAUUCCCUCAUUCUUUAA
rnacentral:snRNA from 1 species